rnacentral:rRNA from 1 species
CCUACGGGGGGCAGCAGUGGGGAAUAUUGCACAAUGGGGGAAACCCUGAUGCAGCGACGCCGCGUGAGUGAAGAAGUAUUUCGGUACGUAAAGCUCUAUCAGCAGGGAAGAAAAUGACGGUACCUGACUAAGAAGCCCCGGCUAACUACGUGCCAGCAGCCGCGGUAAUACGUAGGGGGCAAGCGUUAUCCGGAUUUAUUGGGUUUAAAGGGUGCGUAGGCGGAAUAUCAAGUCAGCGGUAAAAAUUCGGGGCUCAACCCCGUCGUGCCGUUGAAACUGAUGUUCUUGAGUGGGCGAGAAGUAUGCGGAAUGCGUGGUGUAGCGGUGAAAUGCAGAGAUAUCACGCAGAACUCCGAUCGCGAAGGCAGCCUACCGGCGCGCAACUGACGCUCAUGCACGAAAGCGUGGGUAUCGAACAGGAUUAGAUACCCCAGUAGUC